rnacentral:rRNA from 1 species
UACAGAGGGUGCAAGCGUUAAUCGGAAUUACUGGGCGUAAAGUGUGCGCAGGCGGCCGCGCAAGUCGAGUGUGAAGCCCGCAGCUUAACUUGGGAAUUGCGCUCGAAACUACGUGGCUGGAGUGUGGCAGAGGAAGGUGGAAUUCCACGUGUAGCGGUGAAAUGCGUAGAGAUGUGGAGGAACACCGAUGGCGAAGGCAGGUCUCUGGGCAUUAACUGACGCUGAGGAGCGAAAGCAUGGGGAGCGAACAGG